rnacentral:rRNA from 1 species
GAUGAACGCUAGCUACAGGCUUAACACAUGCAAGUCGAGGGACCGGCGCACGGGUGAGUAACACGUAUCCAACCUGCCCUUUACUCGGGGAUAGCCUUUCGAAAGAAAGAUUAAUACCCGAUAUAAAGGAUGGGGAUGCGUUCCAUUAGGUUGUUGGUGAGGGAACGGCUCACCAAGCAUUCGAUGGUUAGGGGUUCUGAGGGGAAGGUCCACCACAAUUGAUCUGAGACACAGACCAAUCUCGUACGGAGGGCAGGGGAAUGGAGUAUUAGUCGAGGAGGGCUGGCCUGAACCAGCCAAGUAGCGUAAAGGAGGAAUGGUUAUGAGUGUUAAACUUCUUUUGUAUAAGGAGAGGUAUUAUAUGAAUAAGGAUCGGCUAACUCCGUGCCAGCAGCCGCGGUAAUUC